rnacentral:rRNA from 1 species
UACGAGAGGCCCAAACGUUAUUCGGAAUUACUGGGCUUAAAGAGUUCGUAGGCGGCGCAGAAAGUAGGGUGUGAAAAGUCCUCGGCUCAACCGAGGAAUUGCGCUCUAAACUACUGUGCUUGAGGAAGCUAGAGGUGAGCGGAACUGAUGGUGGAGCGGUGAAAUGCGUUGAUAUCAUCAGGAACACCGGAGGCGAAGGCGGCUCACCUGGGGCUUUUCUGGACGCUGAGGAACGGAAAGCCAGGGGCAGACGAACGGGG